ensembl:snRNA U6 U6 spliceosomal RNA
GUGCUCGCUUUGGCAGCACAUAUACUAAAACUGGAACAAUACAGAGAAAGUUAGCCUGGCCCCUGAGCAAGGAUGACCCACAAAUUCAUGAAGCGUUCCAUAUUUUU